rnacentral:rRNA from 1 species
GGCCUGGCCGGGCGGUCCGCCUAACGGCGCCGUACUGUCUGGCCGGGCCUUACCUCUUGGUGAGCCGGCGUGCCCUUCGCUGGGUGCGUCGGGGAACCAGGACCUUUACCUUGAGAAAAUUAGAGUGUUCAAAGCAGGCUUUUGCCCGAAUACAUUAGCAUGGAAUAAUGAAAUAGGACGUGCGGUUCUAUUUUGUUGGUUUCUAGAGUCGCCGUA